AUUGAACGCUGGCGGCAGGCCUAACACAUGCAAGUCGAGCGGAUGAAGGGAGCUUGCUCCUGGAUUCAGCGGCGGACGGGUGAGUAAUGCCUAGGAAUCUGCCUGGUAGUGGGGGAUAACGUCCGGAAACGGGCGCUAAUACCGCAUACCUCCUGAGGGAGAAAGUGGGGGAUCUUCGGACCUCACGCUAUCAGAUGAGCCUAGGUCGGAUUAGCUAGUUGGUGGGGUAAAGGCCUACCAAGGCGACGAUCCGUAACUGGUCUGAGAGGAUGAUCAGUCACACUGGAACUGAGACACGGUCCAGACUCCUACGGGAGGCAGCAGUGGGGAAUAUUGGACAAAGGGCGAAAGCCUGAUCCAGCCAUGCCGCGUGUGUGAAGAAGGUCUUCGGAUUGUAAAGCACUUUAAGUUGGGAGGAAGGGCAGUAAGUUAAUACCUUGCUGUUUUGACGUUACCAACAGAAUAAGCACCGGCUAACUUCGUG
rnacentral:rRNA from 1 species